AAAGUCGUAACAAGGUUUCCGUAGGUGAACCUGCGGAAGGAUCAUUAUUGAAUCCAAAGGAUGUUGCUGGCCUUUCGGGGCAUGUGCACUCCACCUUUUCAAUACACCUGUGAACUUAUUGUAGGUGCAGACGUGCCUAUGUUUUUAACACACCCUUAAUAAAAAGUCUAUUGAAUGUCUGAUUGUGGCCUUUGAUGGUCAACAAACUUAAUACAACUUUCAACAAUGGAUCUCUUGGUUCUC
rnacentral:misc_RNA from 1 species